rnacentral:rRNA from 1 species
AGAGCGAACGCUGGCGGCAGGCCUAACACAUGCAAGUCGAGCGCCCGUAGCAAUACGGGAGCGGCAGACGGGAUAGUAACACGUGGGAACGCGCCCUUCGGUUCGGAAUAACUCAGGGAAACUUGAGCUAAUACCGAAUACGCCCUUACGGGGAAAGAUUUAUUGCCGAAGGAACGGCCCGCGUCCGAUUAGCUAGUUGGUGAGGUAAUGGCUCACCAAGGCUACGAUCGGUAGCUGGUCUGAGAGGAUGACCAGCAUCACUGGGACUGAGACACGGCCCAGACUCCUACGGGAGGCAGCAGUGGGGAAUAUGGACAAUGGCGAAAGCCUGAUCCAGCCAUGCCGCGUGGAUGAUGAAGGCCUUAGGGUUGUAAAGUCCUUUUAACGGGGAGAUAAUGACGGUACCCGUAGAAUAAGCCCGGCUAACUUCGUGCCAGCAGCCGC